UGGGGAAUUUUGGACAAUGGGGGAAACCCUGAUCCAGCCAUCCCGCGUGUGCGAUGAAGGCCUUCGGGUUGUAAAGCACUUUUGGCAGGAAAGAAACGUCGCGGGCUAAUACCCCGCGAAACUGACGGUACCUGCAGAAUAAGCACCGGCUAACUACGUGCCAGCAGCCGCGGUAAUACGUAGGGUGCAAGCGUUAAUCGGAAUUACUGGGCGUAAAGCGUGCGCAGGCGGUUCGGAAAGAAAGAUGUGAAAUCCCAGAGCUUAACUUUGGAACUGCAUUUUUAACUACCGGGCUAGAGUGUGUCAGAGGGAGGUGGAAUUCCGCGUGUAGCAGUGAAAUGCGUAGAUAUGCGGAGGAACACCGAUGGCGAAGGCAGCCUCCUGGGAUAACACUGACGCUCAUGCACGAAAGCGUGGGGAGCAAACAGGAUUAGAUACCCUGGUAGUCCACGCCCUAAACGAUGUCAACUAGCUGUUGGGGCCUUCGGGCCUUGGUAGCGCAGCUAACGCGUGAAGUUGACCGCCUGGGGAGUACGGUCGCAAGAUUAAAACUCAAAUGAAUUGACGGGGGUCGAUA
rnacentral:rRNA from 1 species